CGGGUGAGUAACGCGUGGAUAAUCUGCCCUUAAGAUGGGGAUAACGGCUGGAAACGGUCGCUAAUACCGAAUACGCUCCCGAUUUUAUCAUUGGGGGGAAAGAUGGCCUCUGCUUGCAAGCUAUCGCUUAAGGAUGAGUCCGCGUCCCAUUAGCUAGUUGGCGGGGUAACGGCCCACCAAGGCAACGAUGGGUAGCCGGUCUGAGAGGAUGACCGGCCACACUGGAACUGGAACACGGUCCAG
rnacentral:rRNA from 1 species